UGAGGAUCUUACUGAAGAUGUUUUGAGCUGUGAUAUCAAUAAAGAAGAAUCUUCAAGUCAAUGCUCUAAUUAUGCUAAUACUCAAGCAUAAGGCUGGAUUGUUGAGCACCAAAAAUCGACAUAUUUGGUUUGGAAUCUGGACAUCGAUAAAUAAAUUUGGAGCAUAAUGAUAGUUAUGUCCUUUUUCCUUUGGUUUUAUAUGUAUUAUGAUAACAAUUUGAUACCAUUUAUUUUAUUUUGUAUUGGUGUUUUACUAUUAUUAGGACAUUAAAUUUUAUGUUGGUGUAUUGAAUUUGUCUUUUUUAGCA